GGUAGGGUAGCCGAAAGUUAGGCGGUGGGUUGUAGCCCCAAAGAUGGGGGUUCAAUUCCUCCCUUUCUCA
rnacentral:tRNA from 1 species